GAUGAACGCUGGCGGCGUGCCUAAUACAUGCAAGUCGAGCGAACAGAUGAGGAGCUUGCUCCUCUGACGUUAGCGGCGGACGGGUGAGUAACACGUGGAUAACCUACCUAUAAGACUGGGAUAACUUCGGGAAACCGGAGCCAAUACCGGAUAAUAUAUUGAACCGCAUGGUUCAAUAGUGAAAGACGGUUUUGCUGUCACUUAUAGAUGGAUCCGCGCCGCAUUAGCUAGUUGGUAAGGUAACGGCUUACCAAGGCGACGAUGCGUAGCCGACCUGAGAGGGUGAUCGGCCACACUGGAACUGAGACACGGUCCAGACUCCUACGGGAGGCAGCAGUAGGGAAUCUUCCGCAAUGGGCGAAAGCUUGACGGAGCAACGCCGCGUGAGUGAUGAAGGUCUUCGGAUCGUAAAACUCUGUUAUUAGGGAAGAACAAAUGUGUAAGUAACUAUGCACGUCUUGACGGUACCUAAUCAGAAAGCCACGGCUAACUACGUG
rnacentral:rRNA from 1 species